rnacentral:rRNA from 1 species
GAUGAACGCUGGCGGCGUGCCUAAUACAUGCAAGUCGAGCGAACAGACGAGGAGCUUGCUCCUCUGACGUUAGCGGCGGACGGGUGAGUAACACGUGGAUAACCUACCUAUAAGACUGGGAUAACUUCGGGAAACCGGAGCUAAUACCGGAUAAUAUAUUGAACCGCAUGGUUCAAUAGUGAAAGACGGUUUUGCUGUCACUUAUAGAUGGAUCCGCGCCGCAUUAGCUAGUUGGUAAGGUAACGGCUUACCAAGGCAACGAUGCGUAGCCGACCUGAGAGGGUGAUCGGCCACACUGGAACUGAGACACGGUCCAGACGCCUACGGGAGGAAGCAGUAGGGAAUCUUCCGCAAUGGGCGAAAGCUUGACGGAGCAACGCCGCGUGAGUGAUGAAGGUCUUCGGAUCGUAAAACUCUGUUAUUAGGGAAGAACAAAUGUGUAAGUAACUAUGCACGUCUUGACGGUACCUAAUCAGAAAGCCACGGCUAACUACGUG